AUCGCUUCUCUGCCUUUUGGCUAAGAUCAAGUGUAGUAUCUGUUAUCAGUUUAAUAUCUGAUACGUCCCCUACCCGGGGACCAUAUAUUAAAUAGAUUUUUGGAGCAGGGAGAUGGAAUAGGGGCUUGUUCCGUCCACUCCACGCAUCGACCUGCUAUUGCAGUAUCUCUGGGAGCGGUGCACCCCCU
ensembl:snRNA U2 U2 spliceosomal RNA